rnacentral:sRNA from 1 species
AAAGAUAAUGGUGAUAUUUAUCUUGAUUCAAUUCUUACCUUUUUUUUUAUACAUGUAUAUAUGAUAAAUGCUUUUAGUUGAAUCUUGUUUGGCACCUAGUACAGAAAAAUUAGAAUUAGCUGGCAGCAAUAUCACGCCUAAUGGCCUUGAUUCAGAUUACAUGAAUCUAUUUAUUUGUCAGGCAUGUAAAAUUGUCAAUGCUGAGGUUUCAUUCAAAAUUUGUUGAUAUCAAUUUUCAUACAUUUAAAUAUUACAAUUCUUAAUUUCAAAGAUCUGUAAUAUUUUGGACAAUAGACUUGCCAAACAAAUUGUUGUCAGGUUUUGAUUUCAAUGUAGAUUUAAAUUUUUGGAUCAAGUUAUGAAAUCCCAGAAAAUUGAUGCUUAAGAAAUCAUGAUGAAAUCACAUAUAGUUAAAAUUCCUCCCAUUUUCGUUCCAACUUUAUUUGAAAUUGGUACACAUACUAAAAACACAUCACAUUUAUAAGCCAUUCAAUGUUUCAGUUAUGACAAUGAAUUGACAAAUUGUUCACAAAUGAAACCUUUAUCUUUGUUUGUAAGACAUAAAUUAUUCAUUGUACAUGUAACAUCACAGAUGAUGCUCAUUUUACGUGUAUCUUUUAUAAAGGAUGCAAAACUUGUCAAUGUCUAUCAUUCCAGUGUUCUGUGUCUUGAUUUUCUUGCUUUCUUAUAUUUUUUUUUCUCUGUUGUUUUUGGUUUUAUUUUUGUUUUGUUUGGUAAAGAAUUUUGAGAAUUUCUGCCUAUAUUAUCACAGUUUUGUUAGCAAAUUUAAAACAGCCUUUGCCAUAUGAUGCUUUACCAUCUGAUUAAUAUAGAAACAUACAACAUAUUCUCCUAUCUUGCAAUACACUGAUAAACUCAUUUAUGAAAUGCUUAAGUUGAACUUCUUGGAAAAUUUUACAUUUCUGAGUUUGCAAUAUUCAGACAAUGUUCUUAUUUCUGUUAAUUAUCAGGUAUUUUACAAUAUACCUUUGAAAUUGUCAAAGAAAUAGUAAACAUGUUUUGUUGAUUUUUUUUCCUUAUGUUUAAAUUUUAACAAUGCAUAGAAUUAUGUUGAUGAAGAAUAAAUAUUACUGAAAAAAU